GACGAACGCUGGCGGCGUGCUUAACACAUGCAAGUCGAGCGGAAAGGCCCUUCGGGGUACUCGAGCGGCGAACGGGUGAGUAACACGUGAGUAACCUGCCCCAGACUUUGGGAUAACCCUCGGAAACGGGGGCUAAUACCGGAUACGACACAGCUUCGCAUGGGGUCUGUGUGGAAAGUUUUUCGGUUUGGGAUGGGCUCGCGGCCUAUCAGCUUGUUGGUGGGGUGAUGGCCUACCAAGGCGACGACGGGUAGCCGGCCUGAGAGGGCGACCGGCCACACUGGGACUGAGACACGGCCCAGACUCCUACGGGAGGCAGCAGUGGGGAAUAUUGCACAAUGGGCGGAAGCCUGAUGCAGCGACGCCGCGUGAAGGAUGACGGCCUUCGGGUUGUAAACCUCUUUCAGCAGGGACGAAGCGUAAGUGACGGUACCUGCAGAAGAAGCGCCGGCCAACUACGUG
rnacentral:rRNA from 1 species